rnacentral:rRNA from 1 species
GAUGAACGCUGGCGGCGUGCCUAAUACAUGCAAGUCGAGCGAACAGACGAGGAGUUUGCUCCUCUGACGUUAGCGGCGGACGGGUGAGUAACACGUGGAUAACCUACCUAUAAGACUGGGAUAACUUCGGGGAACCGGAGCUAAUACCGGAUAAUAUAUUGAACCGCAUGGUUCAAUAGUGAAAGACGGUUUUGCUGUCACUUAUAGAUGGAUCCGCGCCGCAUUAGCUAGUUGGUAAGGUAACGGCUUACCAAGGCAACGAUGCGUAGCCGACCUGAGAGGGUGAUCGGCCACACUGGAACUGAGACACGGUCCAGACUCCUACGGGAGGCAGCAGUAGGGAAUCUUCCGCAAUGGGCGAAAGCCUGACGGAGCAACGCCGCGUGAGUGAUGAAGGUCUUCGGAUCGUAAAACUCUGUUAUUAGGGAAGAACAAAUGUGUAAGUAACUAUGCACGUCUUGACGGUACCUAAUCAGAAAGCCACGGCUAACUACGUGCCAGCAGCCGCGGUAA